UGCGGCUCCUACCUCCGAGUCUGCCUCUGUCUCCGCCAACGUUAUGGGUGUGUUGGAUUUUUAUAGUUUGCUCGUGUCUUCCGCGAAAACGAAGGCAUGGAACAAGGGGAAGAGAUCAAUCCAAGCCUCGUUGCAGGGAUAGAAGACUCUGCGGCCUCCUGGUGCCUUGAGGAGUUAGCUAAGCUCUGUGAUUUGAGCUCAAUAAUCCCAUGAUACCAAUCUUUUCCAAGGUGGAUCUCUCUCACGUACGCAAACAGAGCGGCCGUUUCGUUGAGGACUUUGAAACACACGCCAAAAGAUUUGAGGACGAGGAGAUACAUCCAUGGAGAGGAGCUAUGAAGAUAGUUGGAAACCUCCCUGGAUAUGUUUACAGGUGAAGCGAAUACAUGUGACAGAAGAAGCGAAGACAUGACAUUGGUAUGGUAAGGACUCAGUGGUGUGGAUGGACUCAGACUCGAACUCCGACACCGACACCGACUCGGAGAAGGACAAUGAAAACGAGGUGUAGACAUUGAAGCACGUAACGAAAAAAUUUAUGGUGUAUAGGGCGGGGAAGCCAUCGUGUGAGUAUAAUAAGACAAUGAUCUACACAGAAGACAUUGGAGAUCUUUGUAUGUUUCUUGGACAUAGCCAGAAACAUACAAUAUACUUAAUUUUAAUUUUUUAUAAUAUGAUGUUGCAAUCUUGAAAUGAUGACAGAUUAGAAAUGAAAGGCGAGGAGGUAUCUUAGCAGAGGAAAAAACAGCCAGUCCCUUUCUCUCAUAAGUUCUCUAAAGCUGAUCCUUUGGCUCUCCGCCUUCUUGAACGCCUGCUUGCCUUUGAUCCCAAAGACCGUGCAUCUGCUGAAGAUGCACUAUCUGAUCCAUACUUCAGUGGUUUGUCAAACUCAGAGCGUGAACCAUCAACACAGCCAAUCUCAAAGCUUGAGUUUGAUUUUGAGAGAAAGAAGUUAACAAAUAAUGAUGUCAGAGAAUUAAUCUACCGAAAGAUACUGGGAGUAUCAUCCUCAGAUGUUGGAGGAAUACAAGCACGGUGGUGAUCAGCUUAGCUUCAUGUACCCUAGGUUAGCUUCAAUAUUUAUAGAACAUAUUUUAUUUAAACAGUGAUUUUUUUUGGGGAAAAAGAUGCAAUUUAAUUUUAUUCAAUAAUUAGUAUAUGUUACUCAUAUUAAAUGUGAUUAUAAAAUAUUAUAUCAUAAGAUUACGUAUACAAAAAAAUAUUAACAUAAUGUGUAUUAUAUAUGAAAUGUACAUUUAAAACAUAAUUUAUGUAUAUAUAAAUCCAAAAAUAGAAAAUGGCAGUUAAUUAAAAGGUUACAAUUUUAAACACGAUCUUCUAUUUUGAUAAUUUUAAAAUUAUUAUAAAUAUAAAACAAAUUGUUUAUAUAAACAUGUGUAACUUAGAAUGUGUAUAACUAAAGUAAAAUUUAAUAUUGAGUUUGUACACAAUACUAUCAAAGCACCAUAGACAAAGGACAUGGAACCUAAAAAAAAGGCCAUGAAACACAAAAGAAGAAGUGAGGCAAAUGCGAGAAUAAUAAUAAUGCAGUUUGUAGGUUUGCAACUCAGAUUGUAGGGCAGGAUCAAACCGUAGGUGUUAGAAUUCUUAAACCGUUUUUGUUAAAUUUAAGUUUUGGUUAAAAGGUUGACAAAAUUAUUUUGGUUAAAACGAUAAAUUGAAGACAACAAAUAAAGAAUCGAUAUACAAGUCGGUGGUACUUUCUUUUAAAUACAAGUACAUAAAUGAAACUUAAUAAUUUUAAAACCAAUCAAAAUUUAUACAGUACUAAUUAUAAGCUUUACAAUUUUUUUAUAUAAAAAUAAAUAACCAAGAUAAAGAAUAUAUAUAUCUUAACUUAUAAUUUAGUUAAAUUUUUAUUAAUCUUUCUAAUAUCCUACAUAAAACUCCAAUAAAACACAACAAAUUAUUUCAAAUAGUUUUAAAUUUGCAUUUAUGUUUAUAAUUCUAUAACAAGUUUCAGUGUAUAUCAUAUUUGUUCGUUUUUAAAAUAUAAAUAUAAAAAUUAAACUAAUAUUAUAGGAAAAAAUCCGGGCGUAGCCCGGAAAAGCCCCUAGUGAAUCUAAAGACUACUUUUGCUGCAGGAAGUCUUGGACAAUAUACUUAAUUGGGCUAUAUCGCCCUAUAAUAUUUACAUGAGCCCCAUAUAUGUAUGAGCCCAAUCUCACUUUUCAUAGUUCCCACAAAUUUCACGUUGUUCAGCGUUCCAAUUAAGAGUUGCCACGUGGAAUUUAUAACAGUACCAAAUCAACUUGACUCCAGUUGACGAAGUAGGCAUAACCUUACAAGAUCACAAAUAUUCCCAUUAAACGAACAUGAUUGCUAGAUGGUCAAUGUACAUAGAGAUGCUAAAGAAUACUCCCUAUGGAAGAACCCAUACGAGAUUUUCUGUUGAGACACUUGUAAAUACAGAAUGCAACUAUGCAUGCCAUGAAUGAUAUCUAGACCACAUGGUUCACAUGAUGUGAUCUUUUUCAAGAUCUGUACAAUCCUUAGAAAUUAAAUUAUAUGUUUCUAAAUCUAUACAUCUUUUUUUUUUUGAACACUUAUAAAUCUAUAUAUCUAUUUCGUGUAAAUUGUGGAAUAACAUUUUCGUAGUUAUAAAGUAUUGUUUCACUGUUUUUUUUUUUUUGACAUCAAAUUUUCAGUGGUUUAUUAGCUUUUUUUAGGGCAUUUAUAUUUAGAAACUUGAUAUGUGAAUAUCCCAAAAUUGUUUUUUUUAAAAGAGGGAAAGUAGUUCUCAAAUCAGACCAGCUGAGCCGCUGCCGAGAUCUAUGGCAAUAUAUGAGUGAGAGGGGAGUGGAUGUUGUUUCCAAAGUUUGUGAAGUAGAGACUCGUGGCUUUAUCUUUGAUCAAUGGAAGCUGAAAAACCGGUGGGUUAACAUGAUAAAGAAUGGGAACAAGUUGAUCAAAGAAGCAAGCAGGUGUUGCAUAAAUUUACUUUCCUGAUUCAGAAAAAUGAUAUAGUAACUACAAUGGAAGUGAUAAUUUAAUUUAUUGUAACCAAAUGCUCUAUCUACCAUUCACGUGAGUGAUCCUUGGUAUCUUUCUAGCAAAUCUUGGACCAACUUUAGAAGCUUUCUACUUUGUCAUUUCCCAUGAAAGAAAUAACUAUAACGGAAACUUUUAGUAUUCACUUUAGACUAUAACCCUGUUCUUUUGAUAGACGCUGCGUCUAGCGUCAACGUCUCCAAUUAACCCUGUAAUUUUGUUGCUUUAAAAGCAUGAUGGCAAAGAACCACUGAAUCCGGUGUUAAUUAAACGAGACGCGGCGUCAGAUUUCCGAUGAUA